GACGAACGCUGGCGGCGUGCCUAACACAUGCAAGUCGAACGCAGUGGGGACGGGUGCGUAACACGUGGGUAACCUCCCAUCAGAGGGGAUAACACUUGGAAACAGGUGCUAAACCGAUACUGAUGGAUGGAACUGCGGUGCAUUAGCUAGUUGGUGAGGUAACGGCGCACCAAGGCCACGAUGCAUAGCCGACCUGAGAGGGUGAUCUGCCACACUGGGACUGAGACACGGCCCAGACUCCUACGGGAGGCAGCAGUAGGGAAUAUUCGGCAAUGGACGAAAGUCUGACGGAGCAACGCCGCGUGAGUGAAGAAGGUUUUCGGAUCGUAAAACUCUGUUGUUGGAGAAGCGGUAUCUAACGAGAAAGCCACGGCUAACUACGUGCCAGCAGCCGCGGUAAUAC
rnacentral:rRNA from 1 species